GACGAACGCUGGCGGCGUGCUUAACACAUGCAAGUCGAGCGGAGCGGCGAACGGGAGAGUAACGCGUGAGUAACCUGCCCUCCUUUUUGGGAUAAGGCUUGGAAACGGGGUCUAAUACCGAAUCACGGGGGAUGGGCUCGCGGCCUAUCAGCUUGUGGGGGGGGUGAUGGCCUACCUAGGCGGGGACGGGUAGCCGGGCUGAGAGGGUGAGCGGCCACAUUGUGACUGAGAUACGCCCCACAGUCAUACGGGAGGGAGCAGUGUGGGAUAUUGCGCAAUAGGCGAAAGCCUGAUGCGGCGACGCCGCGUGGGGGGUGAAGGGUUUCGGGUUGUAAACCUCUGUCGCUAUCGAGCGGGUAGGUGGAGAAGAAGCGCCGGCUAACUACGUGCCAGCAGCCGCGGUAAUAC
rnacentral:rRNA from 1 species